rnacentral:snoRNA from 1 species
GGAUUGAUGGUGACUAACAUAUAUACAUUUUUUUGGAAAGGUGAACAAAAUGAGUGAAAACUCAGUACCAUCGUCGUCAUCAACCUGAGGUCC